rnacentral:rRNA from 1 species
UAUGUAGGGGGCAAGCGUUGUCCGGAUUUAUUGGGCGUAAAGAGCGUGUAGGCGGCUGGGUAGGUCUGCUGUGAAAACUCGAGGCUCAACCUCGAGACGUCGGCGGAAACCCUCCAGCUAGAGUCCGGAAGAGGAGAGUGGAAUUCCUGGUGUAGCGGUGAAAUGCGCAGAUAUCAGGAAGAACACCCGUGGCGAAAGCGGCUCUCUGGGACGGUACUGACGCUGAGACGCGAAAGCGUGGGGAGCGAACAGG